AGCUGGAUCAUUUUUCCGAUUGUGAAAAACAACAACAAACCCGUUUGGAAGGUGGCAAUCCCGAAACAUUCCCUCGCGGUUUGUUCGGCGUGCGCCAGCCGAUUCCACACACACAACAUUCACAGGUUGGGGUGAAGCUUCGCCGUUUCAUUACGGUGUUGCGGAAAUCCCCACAUUCCUUGCCGCAACUUAGGAAACACGCGUGUUUUCUGUUGCUCUGGCUCACACAACGUGUCGCGAUGGAUGACUUGGCUUCCCAUUUCGUUGAAGAACGCAGCAAAGUGCGAUAACUGGUAUCAAUUGCAGGAUUUCACAUUACCGAGUCUUUGAACGCAAAAGGCGCUUGGGAGAAGCUCCUCCAGGGGCACUACCCAUGCAUGCCGUUCCUCAGUGUCGAUCAACAAAAUUUACCCACCCUCGCAAGGGGGUUCCAGGGUGAGUUUUACUGUCAGUGUUCUUGGAGUUGCUCCGUGCACACCUCGGUGUGUGCGCGAGUCAAUCCAGGCGAGUACUUGUCGCCCCAAAGCGGCAACGUGCAAAAACCAAACACAAACAACGAAAACAUUCCAGCAACAAAGAACCCCGUGUUCUUUUGGAAAGUACAGACCUGAGAGCGGCAGGACUACCCGCCGAACUUAAGCAUAUUACUCAGCGGAGGAAAAGAAAACAACCGUGAUUCCCUCAGUCAGCGGCGAGCGAAGAGGGACCGAACCCAAUGCCGAAUCCGGUCUUAAACGACUGAGAACUGUGGCAUUUGCCAUGAGUGGUUGGUGUGGGACUGGCAAAAUUCAAGCGCAAAGCAAACCCAUUGCUGAAACCUACCCUUCAGUUGAGUAUUGAGCCAUAGAAGGUGUUAGCCCAUUUGAGCCAGAAACCCAUGCCUCAUUAAGUGGCACAAGAGAGUAGCACUGCUUGGGAGUGCAGUGUUAAGCGGCAGGUAUGUGUCUGCCAAGGUUAAAUACAAAGUGGGAAGACCGAUAGCAAACAAGUAGCGUGAGCGAAAGUUUGAAAAGAUCUUUGGAAAGAGAGUGACAUAGAACCUGAAGUCGUGACAACGAUAAUGGAAGUACCUCCAUUUUAUUCUGGCCAAAACCAGCCCUGCGGCAUUUUACGCGGAUGGACCUAACAACGCCUUCCGUGCCAAACUCAAAUGCAAAACCGGGGUUUGGGUAAAUCGAGCGGAGAUAAAGCGGCGUGGCACUGCCGUACCGCUUUCCGAAAGAUUGCGGUGCGACCAGCAAGCCUUGCGUCACUUCUCCGGGAACUCGGUGUUGGCGAACACUCAGUGGAAAUGGGGUGCCUCCACCCGUCUUGAAACACGGACCAAGGAGUCAAACAGACACGCAAGGGGGAAGACGAACGGAGAAAACGCUUCUCUCGAACUGAAAGGGUGGGAAUUUCCCAUGGUGUGCACUUACGGCCCAACACCGACCGGCCCUCUGAGGGUUGAGUUCGAGUGUGCCUGUUUGGACCCGAAAGGUGGUGAACUAUGCCUGAACAAGGUGAAGCCCGGGGAAACCCGGGUGGAGGCCUGUAGCGAUGCUGACGUGCAGAUCGCUCGCAUGAUUUGGGUAUCGGAGCGAAAGACUCAUCGAACCACCUAGUAGCUGGUUCACGU
rnacentral:misc_RNA from 1 species